rnacentral:rRNA from 1 species
AUGUAGGAAUCUGCCAAAGCAUGAAGGAAAAUCCUUCUUAAAAGAUCAGUGAUCGUGCUUUGAUGAGCCUGCACAAGAUUAGAUAGUUGGUGUGGUAAUGGCACACCAAGUCGAUGAUCUUUAGCUGAUCUGAGAGGAUGAUUAGCCACACUGGGACUGAGACACGGCCCAGGCUCCCAUGGGAGACAGCAGUGAGGAAUCUUGGACAAUGCACGAAAGUGUGAUCCAGCUAUAUCGCGUGAGUGAUGAAGGGUAUGUAGCUUGUAAAGCUCUUUCAGCAAGAAUAGAUGAAAUUUUCAU